GGUCGAUAGCUCAGUCGGAAGAGCACGGUGCUAAAUACCGCUUCCGCCCAGGGUUUCGAGCCCCUGUAUGACCA